GCAAAAGCUCAAAUUUGAAAUCUGGCGUCCUCUGGGCGUCCGAGUUGUAAUUUGGAGGAGCGUCUUCGGGAGCGGCACCGUCCUAAGUUCUUUGGAACAGGACGUCAUAGAGGGUGAGAAUCCCGUGCCUGGGCGGUUGACCGUUCCCAUGUGAAGUGCUUCCGACGAGUCGAGUUGUUUGGGAAUGCAGCUCAAAAUGGGUGGUAAAUUUCAUCUAAAGCUAAAUAUUGGCGAGAGACCGAUAGCGCACAAGUAGAGUGAUCGAAAGAUGAAAAGCACUUUGAAAAGAGAGUUAAAAAGUACGUGAAAUUGUUGAAAGGGAAGCGCUUGAGAUCAAACUCGGCCUUUGGUGAUCCACUGGGCUUCUGUCCGGCGAAACUUUGCCAUUGGCCGGGCCAGCAUCGGCUCUGACGGUGGGAAAAACGGUUGGGGAAUGUGGCUCCUCUCGGGGAGUGUUAUAGACCCGGCCUUUGAUACCGCCAGUUGGGACCGAGGACCGCGCUUCGGCUAGGAUGCUGGCGUAAUGGUCUUAAGCGACCCG
rnacentral:rRNA from 1 species